rnacentral:rRNA from 1 species
UGAGGAAUAUUGGUCAAUGGACGAGAGUCUGAACCAGCCAUGCCGCGUGAAGGAUGAAGGCGUUCUGCGUUGUAAACUUCUUUUGCGGGGGAAGAAACCUUGAUAUUCUUAUCAAGCCGACGGUACCCCGAGAAUAAGCACCGGCUAACUCCGUGCCAGCAGCCGCGGUAAUACGGAGGGUGCAAGCGUUAUCCGGAAUCAUUGGGUUUAAAGGGUCAGCAGGCGGGCUAAUAAGUCAGAGGUGAAAUCACACAGCUUAACAGGGGAACUGCCUUUGAAACUGUUAGUCUUGAAUUAAGAGGGCGUUAGCGGAAUAGGUAAUGUAGCGGUGAAAUGCAUAGAUAUGACCUAGAACCCCGAUUGCGAAGGCAGGCUACUACGCCGUGAUUGACACUGAGGCACGAGAGCAUGGGUAGCGAAC